rnacentral:tRNA from 1 species
GCCUGGGUGGCUCAGUAGGUUGAGCCUCUGACUUUGGCUCAGGUCACAAUCUCAUGGUUCGUGAGUUCGAGCCCCGCGUCAGGCU